GACAGAGGUCCCGAGCGUUAGGCGGAAUCACUGGGCUUAAAGCGUGUGUAGGCGGAUCGUUAAGUACCUUGUGAAAUCCCACGGCUUAACCGUGGAACGGCUUGGUAUACUGGCGGUCUUGAGCCACUUAGGGGCUACCGGAACAAAUGGUGGAGCGGUGAAAUGCGUAGAUAUCAUUUGGAACGCCAAUGGUGAAAACAGGUAGCUGGGAGUGUGCCGACGCUGAGACACGAAAGCCAGGGGAGCAAACGGG
rnacentral:rRNA from 1 species